ACCAAUUUGAGUAUAAGCUUUCGUGAGCUACAGCUCACUUUAUCGGAUGCAUUCAGUGGAGAUGGUGAACUAUGCCUGGGCAGGGUGAAGCCAGAGGAAACUCUGGUGGAGGUCCGUAGCGGUCCUGACGUGCAAAUCGGUCGUCCGACCUGGGUAUAGGGGCGAAAAACUAAUUGAACCAUCUAGUAGCUGGCUCCCUCUGAAUAUCCCUCAGGAUAGCUGGCACUCGUCCAUCUCUGCAGUUUUAUGUGGUAAAGCGAAUGAUUAGAGGUCUUGGGGCCAAAACGAUCUCAACCUAUUCUCAAACUUUAAAUGGGUAAGAAGCCCGGCUCGCUGGCGUGGAAUGCGAGUGCCUAGUGAGCCACUUUUGGUAAGCAGAAUAGCGCUGCGGGAUGAACCAAACGCUGGGUUAAGGCGCCUGAUGCCGACGCUCAGACCCCAGAAAGGGUGUUGGUUGAUAUAGACAGCAGGACGGUGGCCAUGGAAGUUGGAAUCCGCUAAGGAGCGUGUAACAACUCACCUGCCUAAUCAACUAGCCCUGAAAAUGGAUGGCACUGGAGCGUCAGGCCCAUACCUGGCCGUCGCUGGCAACGAGAGCCACGGGGGCUACGCUGCGACGAGUAGGAGGGCUGCUGUGGUGCGCCUUGAAGCCUAGGGCGUGGGCCUGGGUGGAGCUGCUGCAGGUGCAGAUCUUGGU
rnacentral:ncRNA from 1 species